rnacentral:misc_RNA from 1 species
GAUGAAGAACGCAGCGAAAUGCGAAAAGUAAUGUGAAUUGCAGAAUUCAGUGAAUCAUCGAAUCUUUGAACGCACAUUGCGCCACCUGGUAUUCCGGGGGGCAUGCCUGUCCGAGCGUCAUUACAACCCUCAAGCUCAGCUUGGUAUUGGGCCCCGCCGACCCGGCGGGCCCUAAAGUCAGUGGCGGUGCCGUCCGGCUCCGAGCGUAGUAAUUCUUCUCGCUCUGGAGGUCCGGUCGUGUGCUCGCCAGCAACCCCCAAUUUUUUUCAGGUUGACCUCGGAUCAGGUAGGGAUACCCGCUGAACUUAAGCAUAUCAAUAAGCGGAGGA